CCUACGGGAGGCAGCAGUGAGGAAUAUUGGUCAAUGGACGCAAGUCUGAACCAGCCAUGCCGCGUGCAGGAAGACGGCUCUAUGAGUUGUAAACUGCUUUUGUACGAGGGUAAAUCCCGAUACGUGUAUCGGGUUGCAUGUAUCGUAUGAAUAAGGAUCGGCUAACUCCGUGCCAGCAGCCGCGGUAAUACGGAGGAUUCGAGCGUUAUCCGGAUUUAUUGGGUUUAAAGGGUGCGUAGGCGGGUCGAUAAGUCAGUUGUGAAAUCUCGAGGCUCAACUCCGGCACUGCCUCUGAUACUGUCAGGCUAGAGUUUAGUUGCGGUAGGCGGAAUGUAUGGUGUAGCGGUGAAAUGCAUAGAGAUCAUACAGAACACCGAUUGCGAAGGCAGCUUACCAAACUACGACUGACGUUGAGGCACGAAAGCGUGGGGAGCAAACAGGAUUAGAUACCCGAGUAGUC
rnacentral:rRNA from 1 species